rnacentral:rRNA from 1 species
GACGAACGCUGGCGGCGCGCUUAACACAUGCAAGUCGAGCGAAGCGGCGGACGGGUGAGUAACACGUGAGUAACCUGCCUUAGACAUUGGGAUAGCCUCGGCAAACCGGGAUUAAUACCAAAUGGUCUAAGAUGGACGCGCGUCGCAUUAGCUAGUUGGUGAGGUAACGGCCCACCAAGGCGACGAUGGGUAGCCGGGCUGAGAGGCUGAACCGCCACAUUUGAACUAGGAAACAGUCCAAACUCUAGGCAAGGGAGGAGUGGGGGAUAUUGCAAAAUGGAGGGAACUCUGAUGCAGCGAGGCCGGGAGAACGAAGAAGGCUGUCGAGACGUAAAGUUCUUUUAUAUGAGGAGCGGUACCAUAAGAAAAAGCCCCGGCUAACUACGUGCCAGCAGCCGCGGUAAUUC